rnacentral:rRNA from 1 species
AAAGCGUGCGCAGGCGGUUGUGCAAGUCUGAUGUGAAAGCCCCGGGCUUAACCUGGGAACGGCAUUGGAGACUGCACGACUAGAGUGCGUCAGAGGGGGGUAGAAUUCCACGUGUAGCAGUGAAAUGCGUAGAGAUGUGGAGGAAUACCGAUGGCGAAGGCAGCCCCCUGGGAUGACACUGACGCUCAUGCACGAAAGCGUGGGGAGCAAACAGGAUUAGAUACCCCUGU